GACGAACGCUGGCGGCGUGCCUAAUACAUGCAAGUAGAACGCUGAAGGAGGAGCUUGCUCUUCUGGAUGAGUUGCGAACGGGUGAGUAACGCGUAGGUAACCUGCCUGGUAGCGGGGGAUAACUAUUGGAAACGAUAGCUAAUACCGCAUAACAGUAGAUGUUGCAUGACAUUUGCUUAAAAGGUGCAAUUGCAUCACUACCAGAUGGACCUGCGUUGUAUUAGCUAGUUGGUGGGGUAACGGCUCACCAAGGCGACGAUACAUAGCCGACCUGAGAGGGGGAUCGGCCACACUUGGACUGAGACACGGCCCAGACUCCUACGGGAGGCAGCAGUAGGGAAUCUUCGGCAAUGGACGGAAGUCUGACCGAGCAACGCCGCGUGAGUGAAGAAGGUUUUCGGAUCGUAAAGCUCUGUUGUAAGAGAAGAACGAGUGUGAGAGUGGAAAGUUCACACUGUGACGGUAUCUUACCAGAAAGGGAUGGCUAACUACGUG
rnacentral:rRNA from 1 species